UAAUACAGAGGUCUCGAGCGUUCAACGGAUUCAUUGGGCUUAAAGCGAACGUAGGCGGGUCUGCAGGCGUCGUGUGAAAGCCCUCGGCUCAACCGAGGAACUGCAUGGCGAACCGCAGAUCUUGAGACAAGUAGGGGCGGUCGGAACGAUAGGUGGAGUGGUGAAAUGCGUUGAUAUCUAUCGGAAUGCCGAAGGUGAAAGCAGGCCGCUGGGCUUGUUCUGACGCUGAGGUUCGAAAGCGUGGGGAGCAAACGGGAUUAGAUACCCCGGUAGUCCACGCCGUAAACGAUGCGCACUAGAUCGAGGAGGUUUUGACACCAUUCUCGGUCGAAGCAAAAGUGGUAAGUGCGCCGCCUGGGGAGUACGGUCGCAAGGCUA
rnacentral:rRNA from 1 species